GACGAACGCUGGCGGCGUGCUUAACACAUGCAAGUCGAACGGAAAGGCCCUGCUUGCAGGGUGCUCGCGUGGCGAACGGGUGAGUGACACGUGGGUGUUCUGCCCCUUACUUUGGGAUAUGCCUUGGAAACUGGGUCUAAUACUGCAUAGAGCCAUGCUUUCUGCGGGGUGGUGGAUAGAUUAGUUUCGGUGGGGGAUGAGCUCGCGGCCUAUCAGCUGGUUGUUGUGGUAUUGGCCGACCAAGGCGUCGACGGGUGGCCGGCCGGAGAGGGUGGACGGCGACAUUGGGACGAAGAGACGACGCAGAAGCCUACGGGGGGCAGCAGUGGGGGAGAGUGUACCACAGGGGCAAGCCGGAUGCAGCGACGCCGCGUGGGGGGUGACGGCCUUCGGGUUGUUAACACCUUUCAGCGAUGGCGACGCCCUUGUGGUGACGGUAGUGGGAGAAGAAGCACCGGCUAACUACGUG
rnacentral:rRNA from 1 species